UAACGCGUGAGCAAUCUGCCUUACACAAAGGGAUAGCCUCGGGAAACCGGGAUUAAUACCAUAUGAUAUCUAUUCACCGCAUGGCUUAUAGAUUAAAGAAAUUCGGUGUAAGAUGAGCUCGCGUCCCAUUAAUUAGUUGGUGAGGGUAACGGCCCACCAAGAUAGCGAUGGGUAGCCGAUCUAAGAGGAUGACCGGCCACAUUGGAACUGAGAAACGGUCCAAACUCCUACGGGAGGCAGCAGUGGGGAAUAUUGCACAAUGGGGGAAACCCUGAUGCAGCGACGCCGCGUGAGCGAUGAAGGCUUUCGAGUCGUAAAGCUCUGUCCUAUGGGGAGAUAAUGACGGUACCAUAGAAGAAAGCCCCGGCUAAUUACGUGCCAGCAGCCGCGGUAAUACGUAAGGGGCGAGCGUUGUCCGGAAUUAUUGGGCGUAAAGAGUGCGUAGGCGGCAAAUUAAGUCUAAAGNAAAAAAAANGGNUCAACCCAUAGAUUGCAUCUGAAACUGAUAUGCUUGAGUCAAGGAGAGGAAAGUGGAAUUCCUAGUGUAGCGGUGGAAUGCGUAGAUAUUAGGAGGAAUACCGGUGGCGAAGGCGACUUUCUGGACUUGNACUGACUNUGAUGCACUGANGCGAAGCUGGGAGCAACAGGNUAGAUACCCUGGUAGUCCACGCCGUAAACGAUGAGUGCUAGGUGU
rnacentral:rRNA from 1 species